AUGGCGACGGCGGCGGCAGUAAAAAUGUCGCCUAGGUCGACCGGAUACCCUCCGUCGUGCAAACCAAGCAACACCGGCUGCUACUGCAAGCCACCGGCCGCAGCUCCGAUGAGCACCUUAAGGUGCAGGAGCGCGGUGAGCAGCAGAGGAGGGCCGACGGCCGGGCGGCGGGAGGAGGAGGAGGAGUGGAGGAGGUACCUUGCGCCGGAGAGGCUGGAGGUGCUGGCGCGGCUGGAGCCGUGGGCGGAGGCGAACAUGCUGCCGCUGCUCAAGCCGGCGGACGAGGCGUGGCAGCCGGCGGACAUGCUCCCGGACGCGGCGGCGCUGGGCGCGGACGGCUUCCACGCGGCGUGCCUCGAGCUGCGCGCCAGGGCGGAGGGCGUGCCGGACGCGCAGCUGGUGUGCCUGGUGGGGAACAUGGUCACGGAGGAGGCGCUCCCGACGUACCAGAGCAUGUCCAACCGCUUCGAGGGCACCCGCGACACCACCGGCGCCGACGGCACCGCCUGGGCGCGCUGGGUCCGCGGCUGGUCCGCCGAGGAGAACCGCCACGGCGACGUGCUCAGCCGCUACAUGUACCUCUCCGGCCGCCUCGACAUGCGCCAGGUGGAGCGCACCGUGCACCGCCUCAUCGCCUCCGGGAUGGCCAUGCACGCGCCGGCGAGUCCCUACCACGGCUUCAUCUACGUAGCCUUCCAGGAGCGCGCCACCGCCAUCUCCCACGGCAACACGGCGCGCCAGGUGCGCGCGCACGGCGACGCCGCGCUCGCGCGCAUCUGCGGCGCCAUCGCCGCCGACGAGAAGCGGCACGAGGCGGCCUACACCCGCGUCGUGGCGAAGCUCUUCGAGGUGGACCCGGACGCCGCCGUGCGCGCCAUGGCGUACAUGAUGCGGCGCCGCAUCACCAUGCCGGCCGCGCUCAUGGACGACGGCCGCGACGCCGACCUCUUCGCGCACUACGCCGCCGCCGCGCAGCAGGCCGGGGUGUACACCGCGUCGGACUACCGCGGCAUCCUGGAGCACCUCAUACGGCAGUGGCGGGUGGAGGAGCUCUCGGCGGGGCUGUCCGGCGAGGGGAGGCGUGCGCGGGACUACGUCUGCGCAUUGCCGGAGAAGAUCCGGAGGAUGGAGGAGAGGGCCCAUGACAGGGUGCGAAAGGAGCCUACCCCGGUCCCGUUUAUCUGGAUCUUUGAUAGGCCUGUCAGUGUCGUGCUCCAUUGA
rnacentral:rRNA from 1 species